GGAGACACAAAAGAAUGCCAUGCAACAUUUGAGUGAGAUUUCCACAGCACAACCAUUUCAUCUCAUUUAUAUCCAUCUUCUGCACCUCAGGAGAGGAUUUUCGUAGGAGCCCAAUUAUUAAUUUGAAGUAUCCCUCUCAGCCAAGCACUGAGCACAGAGCCCAUUGUGAGCAACUCGUCACCUGCUAGGAAUCUGCAAAGAUAUUACCCUGAAGUCCAGCAUGAGAAUUCCAUUUUACAGGAAAUAGCUGGUACUAUCCUUAGUGUGGGAGGCUUGCCACUUUAUUAGUAGACUAUUUGUCUAUAUUUUGAAGUGCAGAAAUUGACGAAUGGACUUUAGAGAGAAUAUGGUGGCGUCGAACAAUGCUUUCAGUUUGGGGCAUGCAAUUUUUUUAAUUUCAAUAGGUUUUGGGGGAACAGAUGACGUUUGGUUACAUGAAUACGUUCUUUAGUGAUGAUUUCUGAGAUUUUGGUGGACCCAUCACCCGAGCAGGGUACGCUGUACCCAAUGUGUAGUGUUUGGGUACUGCUACUGCCACAUCACAAUAUCCAGGAUGCCUUUUAUAGACUACUCACAGUCUUGAUCCUUUUUCCUUUAGCUCACUGUGGAGGUACAUAUCAAAUAUCUAAAACUAAAUGAAUAAAAUAAAAUAUUCACCUCCAGUUACCCUCAAAGUAUCCCUGCACCAAGACAAUCAAAAUUGGGCCCAAAAAGGUUUAGAACUCAGAUACUGGAAAACAAGUAUGAGGCAACAUGCUUUUGUGUGAUAUCUAUUUUCCUGAAAAGGCAGCUCAUGGAGGCUGGGAGAGACUCUCAUUCAAGUGUGAGUAAUUAAUUAAGUUAGUAAGUAAGCAGAGAGAAAAGUCAUAGACAUUACCACAGAAUUAAAUCAAGUUGCCCCAAAUGACUUGUAAAUUUAAGAGCAGAUUGUGUGUUCUCUAGAAAUCAAUAUAGAGUCAUCACAUUUUGAGAUUUCCUGUUGUUAAAUUGUGUUUUGUUUUGUUUUGUUUUUGCAAAAUGUCGUAUUGACAACUAGAGGCUUCCUUGACAUUUACCCCACGUGAUACUGGAAAUAUCUGUUCAUCAAUCUUAAAGCCACUGUAACCAGCCAAAUAUUGUGGUGACAGGAUGUAAUCCAUGUUUCAAGUCUCCUAGGAACCCAAAUCCAACACCAACACCAACACCAGAAUGUGGCUUGAAGAAGAUUCUGAAGGAAAAUAAGAAACCAUCACUCAGACCUCUUUGGAAAUCCCUUAUAGCAUCAUAACACAGAGGCUAUGCUCACAUAGUGAACAGGUCUUCAGAAAAGCAGUAAUGAUUCAAAACAAAAUGAAACAAGAAAAGGAGCACCGAAUCUCUGAUAUUCCAUAUUGUCCAAAUGAGUCCUGGGAAAGAUGGUUUUCUUCUUAUCUCUGAUCUUCAGAUUCCUUAAUGUCCAUCUUUAUAGCACUAUUAUCGAUAAGUUCUUCUUUACCUACUGCUUCCAUAAUCAAAAGUUGACCUCCCAGGUGGCAAAAAAAAGCAGUUCCUCCACCAUCAAACCCUACCUAAUGGGCCUAAUCAGCUCCUACCAUGAUAGUCUUUAUUUUCUUCUUUCUUGCUUUCUGCCUUUUUUUUUCUUUUUUAAUUACUGAAGACUCUUGUUUUGGAGAAACCCCUAAUUGCUUCAUUUUGAGAUGUUAUGUUUAACCUCAGGAAAUGGUGCUAUAAGACCUGGCAAACAGCUUUCUGGUUGUUUCAAUCAGUACCAGAUUAUGAGGUCCAGCCGGGUAAGAACUCUAUUCAUUUUCUUGCCCUGUCAUCUUGAUCUUAUUUGAAUGUCUGGGGAGCUGGAGGUGCUUAGCUGGCCCUGGAUUUCAGGACUGGGGGUGGGAGUACCAGGGAGAGCUAUGCGAUGUGUUAGAGACACUGAAAGUUUUCAUUUUGACUCCUUAAUGAGAGCGACCUUUGACACAGGCUGAUGAGUUCCAUGCCUGUCCUGGUGUGCUUUUUGAAAACAUUUGACACUGGUCACAGGUCUGACAGGGAUAUGACUAAUGAAGUCGUGGUAUAAAAAUAAUGGGCUGCAAUUGCAAGUCAUUUGCAUGAAACCAAACUCCUUAAAAACUUGUCUCUGUUCACUUUCUGUUUUCUAAAUGAGUCAAUAAUAUGAAUCAGAUGGGUUGAAGGGAAUAGACUCCCAAAUAUUCCUUCUAUAAGUUUGGUAAAUUAGUUGGCAUUUGGUGCAAUUUUUGUUGCCUUGAGGCCUGGUUUAAAUUGGACUGUAGUUACUAAAUUGCUAGGGCGAUUGCAGAAUGUGUAGGAUAAUGCAUAAUACCUUGUUUUUCUUAAGCGUUUCGUCAGAGAGCUUCUUGUGAGGUCAAGGGGCCCAGGCAGCGCUUUGCAGAAAAUAUCAAGCGAGAGUAGAUGAAGAAGAAAUAUAAGGAGGUUGUGGGGGAGGGAGAAAGGAAAGGACUAAAUAAAAGAAAGGAAAAAAAGAGAAUAAAUGUAGAAAGAAGAAAUAAAACAAAUAAAAAAGAGGGCAACAUGGAUUGGGGUCCAAAAACACAAAAGGACAGGAACAGGAGGAAAAAGAGGGAGAUGGGGAAAAACGGGAAAAUGAACGCAGAGUGGUUAAAGAAAAUGGGGAAUAGAAGAAAAUUUUUAAAGGGAGAACCCUAAAAGAAGAAGCUACCAUGUUGACUUCAGUUUAUCCUGUCAAACUGUGUAUUAUUUAUCCUCACACAGGUUAAGUAUCCACUAAACAAAACUCUGGGCUAAUAGCAGCUCACAGCUCACACACUAGGGCCAAUCCUUCCCUUCCUUUGUCUCUGCACAACCCUGCCAAAGUUCCUGAUGUUUCAUCCUUUCACCUGUAGCUAAAAACACCUUCAGAGAAGGUUUUAGCAAAACUUCUGAAAUUACAUUUGACCAGCUGCGUCAGGAAGCAGCAGCCAGGAGGAGGCACAUUGUACAAGUUCCUUCCUAGAGCCUUCCUCCUGUGGGACUGACUAUUCAUGAUUUAAACACUUAGGGUUUUCUUUAUGAUUUGUCAGUUUCAGCACAUCUAUUUGGAACUUUGUUUUGCUUACUGGUAUAUACGACAAAACGAAAUAUCAUGUGUUCCCAAACUUAAAUAAAAAGAAAUACAAAUGAUUUACAGAUAUACACACAUAGAACAAAUGAAUAAAGGAAAGGUUACAUGGCACAGAGGAAAUUGUACAAGAGGUUUGGAAAUGAACCAGCUCCAGUUGCUCUGUGACCUUGGGAAAUUGUCUUAAUCUCACUGAGCCUCAGUUUCUUCAAUCACAAAAUGAAGGAUUAAAAGAUUGUUUUACAAAGUACUAGCAAAGUACCUGGCACACCAUGAGUAGCUAAAAUGAAUGAAUGAGCAGGCAGAGUAGUAAUACUCUCUUUUGUGCCUGCCUUUCAAGGAAGUAUUUCUCACCUACCAUUCAUACAUAAAGAAAUCAAUAAUAAUUCUACUUAUAUCCCUCGAUAACACUGAAAAUCCAGGAUAAAACAUGCAUAGACUCCAUAAACUAACCGCAUUGCAUCUGUUGGGGUUGUACAUUCUACUCCCAAAAACCUGAAAUCCAAACAACUAACAAAGUGAAACAUGUUGUCCUCUCUCUCCCCCUCUAUCUCUCGCUUUCCCUCCCUCUCUCUUUCUCUUCCUGUAGAACUGCCCAUCACAUUCCAAAUCUCCACUUAAAUGCUUGGAUUAGUGCAUGCCAACCCAAACUCCUAUAUUUACUACUUCUAAAAAAGCACAAACUAAGGAUUAAUGUUCAUAAUCAUGACUUGAUAAUAGUUGAAGAUUGGUAAUUUUUUGUUUGUUUGUUUGUUUUUUGAGACAGAGUCUCACUGUGUCACCCAGAUUGGAUGCAAACAGAACUCACUACAGCCUCUACCUCCUGGAUCCAAGCAUGCCACCACGUCUGGCUAAUUUUUUUUUUUUUUUUUUUAAGAAACGAAGUCUCACUAUGUUGCUCAGGCUGGUCUUGAACUCCCGGGUUUAAGCAAUUCUCCUGCCUUGGCUUCCCAAAGUGCUGAGAUUAUAGGCAUAAGCCACCGUGUCCAGCCAGUAAAUAUUUUAAAAUCAAUUAUUUGAGAAAUAUUUACCGUAGCUUAAUUCUCAAAAAUUGAUCAAUUGUGGUUACUUUCAGUUUGUCACAACUGGCCAAAUCCUGGCCACUGCAAGCCCCAAUUAUUCUAAAUAUGCAUGCAUUUACUCUAUGAAUUCCUGCUGAGAGAAUAUUAUUUCAGUUAUUUGUCUUAAUGAGGCUCCUCAGUCCAUAAGCAAGUUUUGUUAUUGUUACUGAAAUAAAGACAUAGAAGAUAUUCUCAUUCUAGGAACCAAAGCUAACAUUAAAAGACAGUAAUAGACAUUAGAACAAAUUUUUUUAAAUUAAAGAGUUGUUUUUUUAAGAAACAAAAUGAAGUUUAAUAAAGACAGAAGAAAGGCCGGGCGCGGGGGCUCACUCCUGUAAUCCCAGCACUUUGGGAGGCCGGGGC
rnacentral:lncRNA from 10 species